rnacentral:rRNA from 1 species
UGGGGCAUAUUGCACAAUGGGCGCAAGCCUGAUGCAGCCAUGCCGCGUGUGUGAAGAAGGCCUUCGGGUUGUAAAGCACUUUCAGCGAGGAGGAAGGGUAGUGUGUUAAUAGCACAUUGCAUUGACGUUACUCGCAGAAGAAGCACCGGCUAACUCCGUGCCAGCAGCCGCGGUAAUACGGAGGGUGCAAGCGUUAAUCGGAAUUACUGGGCGUAAAGCGCACGCAGGCGGUUUGUUAAGUCAGAUGUGAAAUCCCCGCGCUUAACGUGGGAACUGCAUUUGAAACUGGCAAGCUAGAGUCUUGUAGAGGGGGGUAGAAUUCCAGGUGUAGCGGUGAAAUGCGUAGAGAUCUGGAGGAAUACCGGUGGCGAAGGCGGCCCCCUGGACAAAGACUGACGCUCAGGUGCGAAAGCGUGGGGAGCAAACA